CCUACGGGCGGCAGCAGUGAGGAAUAUUGGUCAAUGGGCGCGAGCCUGAACCAGCCAAGUAGCGUGAAGGAUGACUGCCCUACGGGUUGUAAACUUCUUUUAUAAAGGAAUAAAGUGAGGCACGUGGGCCUUUUUGUAUGUACGUUAUGAAUAAGGAACGGAUAACUCCGUGCCAGCAGCGGCGGUAAUACGGAGGUUCCGAGCGUUAUCCGGAUUUAUUGGGUUUAACGGGAGCGUAGAUGGGUUGUUAAGUCAGUUGUGAAGGUUUUCGGCUCAACCGUAAAAUUGCAUUUGAUACUGGCAGCCUUUAGUACAGUUGAGUUAGGCGCAAUUCGUGUUGUAGCGGU
rnacentral:rRNA from 1 species